GGGGUUGUGGCUCAGCGGUAGAGCGCUCACCUAGCCUGUGUGAGGCCCUGGGUUCCAUCCUCAGCACCACA
rnacentral:tRNA from 1 species